ensembl:lncRNA
UUAUUAUUUGGCUUGUUUUUAUAUAUUGUGUUUUAUUUUUGUUUGUUGUCUGUUCAGCAGGUUCUCCUGCCAGUGAUCAGGUCGACCAGACUCCAGCCAACAUUUACACAAAAGGAGAAGAUGCUAAAAUCCACUGCUCACACAGUAUUCAAAGCUAUGAAACAAUCCUCUGGUACAAGCAGUCAGAGAAACAACUACAACUGCUUGGAUACAUGAAUUACGAUAAGAGUUAUCCAGAGGCUGGAGUGAACGUAACGAUGGAUGGGGGUGCUGAAAAAAAUCAGAACUGCAUAUUAACGAUUAAGGAUAUCAAAGCGAGCUGCAGUGGAGUUUACUUCUGUGCAUCUAGGUACCACAGUGCUGCACAUCACUGCACCUCAAUACAAAAACCAAAGUUGUUGGGUUUUUAAAAAAAAAAAAAAUAACAACAACAAAAAACAACUUCUUUAUUGCAGUUCGCAGCACCUUACACCUGGAAUCAGCCAUUAUCAUGAAUGUGGUCUCACAAAGAUCAAAUAUAGAAGGUUUGCUAUAAGCAGAAAUGCAACAUUUGAACUGCCACAUCAUUUUUAAAAAGCAGCCUCUAUAUAUCUAUAAAUACCUAUGUAUAUGUUAAAAAUAUCUGUAGUGUUUAAUUUCAAAAUGAUCACUGUGAUGGCCUUUUUCGUGUCUUGGCCAUUGAAGAGUAUGCCAUUUCUUUGCCUUGAGAAAUUCUUGGGUUGUUUCUGCAGUAUGCUGUGGGUCAUCAUUCAUUUGCAUUUUCAACCAAGAGAAAAGCUCAGUACACAUCACAGUUUAUCCUGCUCCUCUAUAAGCAAUGCUUCACUUCCACUGCAGUGCGCCAGCUCCAGCGGCAUUCAUUAAUGCCAAUGGUGACUCCGCCAUGUUUAUAGAUCAUGAUAUGCUUCAGAUCAAAAGUUGUCUCCUUCAUCGCUCUCUCCUUCUCUUCGCUCUUUCCAUCAUUCUGGUAAAAAUUAAUCUUGGUUUCAAAUGUCCAAACAAUGCUUUUUCUGAACUGUACAGUCUCUAUUUUCUGGAAAAGUCUGACCUUUCAGAUUAUCCCCUUUUCUGUGGUCUUUUGGCCUAUUUGUGUUGUGGAGCAG